rnacentral:rRNA from 1 species
AUACGUAGGGGGCGAGCGUUGUCCGGAAUGAUUGGGCGUAAAGGGCGCGUAGGCGGCCCGGUAAGUCUGGAGUGAAAGUCCUGUUUUUAAGAUGGGAAUUGCUUUGGAUACUGUCGGGCUUGAGUGCAGGAGAGGUAAGUGGAAUUCCAAGUGUAGCGGAGAAAUGCGUAGAGAUUGGGAGGAACACCAGUGGCGAAGGCGACUUACUGGACUGUAACUGACGCUGAGGCGCGAAAGUGUGGGGAGCAAACAGGAUUAGAUACCCUGGUAGUCCACACUGUAAACGAUGAAUGCUAGGUGUAGGGGGUAUCGACCCCUUCUGUGCCGCAGUCAACACAAUAAGCAUUCCGCCUGGGGAGUACGGCCGCUAGGUUGAAACUCAAAUGAAUUGACGGGG